AAGUCGUAACAAGGUUUCCGUAGGUGAACCUGCGGAAGGAUCAUUAUCGUACAAUGGAGGUGCUGGGGUUGUCGCUGACUUUUGAAAGGGUCGUGCACACCUCAGUGCUUUCGCACAUAAUCCAUGUCACCCCUUUUGUGCAUUACCGCGCGGGGACCCCUUUUAGCUAGUUCUGAGGGGGGUCUUCACGUUUUUACAAAUUUUAACGCAAUGUGUAGAAUGUCUUACUUUUUGCGAUCACACGCAAUCAAUACAACUUUCAACAACGGAUCUCUUGGCUCUC
rnacentral:misc_RNA from 1 species